rnacentral:rRNA from 1 species
UGGGGAAUAUUGCACAAUGGGCGAAAGCCUGAUGCAGCGACGCCGCGUGCGGGAUGAAGGCCUUCGGGUUGUAAACCGCUUUUGAUUGGGAGCAAGCGAGAGUGAGUGUACCUUUCGAAUAAGCACCGGCUAACUACGUGCCAGCAGCCGCGAUAAUACGUAGGGUGCAAGCGUUAUCCGGAAUUAUUGGGCGUAAAGAGCUCGUAGGCGGUUUGUCGCGUCUGGUGUGAAAGUCCAUCGCUUAACGGUGGAUCUGCGCCGGGUACGGGCAGGCUAGAGUGCGACAGGGGAGACUGGAAUUCCCGGUGUAACGGUGGAAUGUGUAGAUAUCGGGAAGAACACCAAUGGCGAAGGCAGGU